UAACAAAGAAGCGAGAUUUUUUGUUGAGAUCUUUUUUGUUUUGUGUUUACCAAGUGGACAACAAAGGAGUUUUAUAGCAUAUAGAAUAUGCACUCUCCACAAGCCAAAUCACGGUAAUAAACUGCAGUUUUUACAAUAAACUAAUGCAGUGCACUUUUUAACAACAACAAAAUUGAGUAACAGGGCAUCCAAUAGAACUACAUCACUUCAUCCUUUGGGACCGCACGCGCAAGCCUGUGCGCCGUUGAACUCCACAAAUGCUUGUGAGCUGCACCCAAACCAGCAAAGAGCUGCAUGCAUUAACAUGGUCAAACUGAAACAUACAGCAAUAUGACUACAAAAAAAAGACAUAACAAGAUGAACUACUUAAAAAAAGUAUGACACCGGCCACCCCUAGUGCAGUGCACUUGUCCUCUGCUUCCCGCGAACAACAAGGAGUGGAGGAGGGAGCUACAAGUGAGGUUCGUCGCCCAGACGCCUGGCAAGCUGCACGGCACAAUCACCUGCACUGCAUGCCACGCUCGUCCACACUGCAUGUAGUGCUCGCCGAAAAGGGGUAACCCAUCAGUUGCUAGGACGGUAGGACCUGCAAGCACACACGCCGGCACCCGACAAACUGCAUGCCCUCUAGGGAGGGUGGAGAGGAGCAGGAAACAGGAUCCAUGCACGCAGCAGUGAGGCACCCACAAAACUACAGGAGAUUGGCUACCUGUCAACAGCGAGCAAAACAGUUAAACACCUUUGAUCCCCAAUACAUGCAGAAUUCACCACCAUGAGAACCAAAUUCAACAAGAAAGACGAACACGAGAUGCAAGAUGACCAAGAACCUACUCGAUUUUGCAGAAGAGAGGUGCUCGAGGGGGAUGCAGGAUCUCGCCAGAGGAAGGACGACAAGACACCGAACGACAAACACGCACGCCUACGAGCUGCAUGUCAUGCUUGCCCAGACAGCAAGCUGCUAUCGCCAGAACCUCGGCCCAAAUGGACCUCCUUCAUACCUGUCAGUCAUCUUUUCUACAUCAUCUAUCUUUUCUGCAAAAAAAGAGUAAAAUGAACCUCAAGAGCAAACAAUAGCGGACUACUCUGCACUUUUGACCUUUUUCUUAAAAAAAGCAACAAAGACAGUAGACUGCAGGUGCACACGGC
rnacentral:lncRNA from 1 species